rnacentral:rRNA from 1 species
GAUGAACGCUGGCGGCGUGCCUAAUACAUGCAAGUCGAACGCUGGAAAUCUAGCUUGCUAGAUUGAAGGAGUGGCGAACGGGUGAGUAAUACAUAAGCAACCUACCCACGAAGACUGGGAUAAUCUCUGGAAACGGGGACUAAUACCGGAUAGGUAAUCGGAAGGCAUCUUCUGAUUAUUAAAGGUGAAAAACACUGGUGGAUGGGCUUAUGGCGCAUUAGUUGGUUGGUGAGGUCACGGCGCACCGAGACGGUGAUGCGUAGCCGGGCUGAGAGGGUGAAACGCCACAUUGGGACUGAGACACGGACCAGACUGCUACGGGAGGCAGCAGUAGGGAAUUUUCGGCAAUGGGGGAAACCCUGACCGAGCCACGCCGCGUGAGUGAUGACGGCCUUCGGGUUGUAAAGCUCUGUUGUAAGGGAAGAACGGUAGAUAGAGAAUAUCUAAAUGACGGUACCUUACCAGAAAGCCACGGCUAACUACGUG